rnacentral:lncRNA from 1 species
AGAUUUCUGUCUGCCUCUCAUUGGCAAACAUGACAUUUCAGCAAUUUCUCUAAAGAGGAAUGACUGGGGGAUUUUUUGUUCAUUCUGAAAAUCACAUCGCCAGAUCCAACACCUUUUUAUCCCAAUCACCAGUACAAGCCACCCGUAUCAGUGUACACUGUGGCUGACCGAUCCAUAGUGAUGCUUUGAGCACAAGGAAGGACUUUCUGGAAUCUACUUAUCUGACCAAGAAAGCUUCUUUCCAAAAGAAAUGCAAUUGUCUUGAGACUUCUUCCCUAGGGAUCUGAUCAACUAACCAGAAAAGAGCAACCACCAGAGAAGAGACUGUGGGUGUCAUUGUGACUGGCUGCUACCUCCCCAUGAGUCUUCUAAAAUAAAACCUGCAAAUUCACAUCUUCCCCAUGCUUCCAGAGAAUGCAUAUUCUUCCUUUGAAAAAAGAAAACCAGAUUGAAGCCACAAAAUCCACAGCACACAAAGACCCUGCUACCAUGUAUUCACUUCAGUGAAAGGGAAGCACCGAAAUGCUGAGUGGGGGCAGGUACAGAUACUUCAAUCACUGCUGAUGG